GACGAACGCUGGCGGCGUGCUUAACACAUGCAAGUCGAACGGAAAGGCCCUGCUUUUGUGGGGUGCUCGGGUGGCGAACGGGUGAGUAACACGUGAGUAACCUGCCCUUGACUUUGGGAUAACUUCAGGAAACUGGGGCUAAUACCGGAUAGGAGCUCCUGCUGCAUGGUGGGGGUUGGAAAGUUUCGGCGGUUGGGGAUGGACUCGCGGCUUAUCAGCUUGUUGGUGGGGUAGUGGCUUACCAAGGCUUUGACGGGUAGCCGGCCUGAGAGGGUGACCGGCCACAUUGGGACUGAGAUACGGCCCAGACUCCUACGGGAGGCAGCAGUGGGGAAUAUUGCACAAUGGGCGGAAGCCUGGUGCAGCAACGCCGCGUGCGGGAUGACGGCCUUCGGGUUGUAAACCGCUUUCGCCUGUGACGAAGCGUGAGUGACGGUAAUGGGUAAAGAAGCACCGGCUAACUACGUG
rnacentral:rRNA from 1 species